ACGGGUGAGUAAUACAUCGGAACGUAUCCUGGAGUGGGGGAUAGCCCGGCGAAAGCCGGAUUAAUACCGCAUACGCUCUGAGGAGGAAAGCGGGGGACCUUCGGGCCUCGCGCUCAAGGGGCGGCCGAUGGCGGAUUAGGUAGUUGGUGGGGUAAAGGCCUACCAAGCCGACGAUCCGUAGCUGGUCUGAGAGGACGACCAGCCACACUGGGACUGAGACACGGCCCAGACUCCUACGGGAGGCAGCAGUGGGGAAUUUUGGACAAUGGGGGCAACCCUGAUCCAGCAAUGCCGCGUGUGUGAAGAAGGCCUUCGGGUUGUAAAGCACUUUUGUCCGGAAAGAAAUCAUCGGGGCCAAUACCCCUGGUGGAUGACGGUACCGGAAGAAUAAGCACCGGCUAACUACGUGCCAGCAGCCGCGGUAGUACGUAGGGUGCGAGCGUUAAUCGGAAUUACUGGGCGUAAAGCGUGCGCAGGCGGUGCUGUAAGACCGAUGUGAAAUCCCCGGGCUUAACCUGGGAACUGCAUUGGUGACUGCAGCGCUGGAGUAUGGCAGAGGGGGGUGGAAUUCCACGU
rnacentral:rRNA from 1 species